rnacentral:rRNA from 1 species
UACCGGCAGCUCAAGUGGUAGCCGCGAUUAUUGGGCCUAAAGCAUCCGUAGCUGGCUAAGUUAGUCCCCUGUUAAAUCCAACGAAUUAAUCGUUGGAUCGCGGGGGAUACUGCUUGGCUAGGGGACGAGAGAGGCAGACGGUAUUUCCGGGGUAGGGGUGAAAUCCUAUAAUCCCGGGAAGACCACCAGUGGCGAAGGCUGUCUGCUAGAACGCGCCCGACGGUGAGGGAUGAAAGCUGGGGGAGCGAACCGGAUUAGAUACCCGGGUAGUCCCAGCUGUAAACGAUGCAGGCUAGGUGUUUGGACGGCCACGUGCCGUUCUAGUGCCGCAGGGAAGCUGUUAAGCCUGCCGCCUGGGGAGUACGAUCGCAAGAUUGAAACUUAAAGGAAUUGGCGGGGGAGCACCACAAGGGGUGAAGCUUGCGGUUUAAUUGGAUUCAACGCCGGA